rnacentral:rRNA from 1 species
GGGCCCGCACAAGCGGUGGAGCAUGUGGUUUAAUUCGAUGAUACGCGAGGAACCUUACCAGGGCUUAAAUGUAGUGGGACAGGUCUAGAGAUAGACCCUUCUUCGGACUCAUUACAAGGUGCUGCAUGGUUGUCGUCAGCUCGUGCCGUGAGGUGUCAGGUUAAGUCCUAUAACGAGCGCAACCCCUAUCGUUAGUUGCCAGCGAGUAAUGUCGGGAACUCUAACGAAACUGCCAGUGCAAACUGUGAGGAAGGUGGGGAUGACGUCAAAUCAUCACGGCCCUUACGUCCUGGGCUACACACGUGCUACAAUGGCCGGUACAGAGAGCAGCCACUUCGCAAGAAGGAGCGGAUCUAACAAAACCUAUCUCAGUUCGGAUCGGAGUCUGCAACUCGACUGCGUG